UGAGUAACCUGCCCUUGACUCUGGGAUAAGCCUGGGAAACCGGGUCUAAUACUGGAUACGACCUUCCCGCGCAUGCGGUGUUGGUGGAAAGCUUUUGUGGUUUUGGAUGGACUCGCGGCCUAUCAGCUUGUUGGUGGGGUAAUGGCCUACCAAGGCGACGACGGGUAGCCGGCCUGAGAGGGUGACCGGCCACACUGGGACUGAGACACGGCCCAGACUCCUACGGGAGGCAG
rnacentral:rRNA from 1 species